rnacentral:rRNA from 1 species
AUUCCCCUAGUAGCGGCGAGCGAAGCGGGAAAAGCUCAAAUUUGUAAUCUGGCGUCUUCGACGUCCGAGUUGUAAUCUCGAGAAGUGUUUUCCGUGAUAGACCGCAUACAAGUCUCUUGGAACAGAGCGUCAUAGUGGUGAGAACCCAGUACACGAUGCGGAUGCCUAUUACUUUGUGAUACACUUUCGAAGAGUCGAGUUGUUUGGGAAUGCAGCUCAAAUUGGGUGGUAAAUUCCAUCUAAAGCUAAAUAUUGGCGAGAGACCGAUAGCGAACAAGUACCGUGAGGGAAAGAUGAAAAGCACUUUGGAAAGAGAGUUAACAGUACGUGAAAUUGUUGGAAGGGAAACACAUGCAGUGAUACUUGCUAUUCGGGGCAACUCGAUUGGCAGGCCCGCAUCAGUUUUUCGGGGCGGAAAAGCAUAGAGAGAAGGUAGCAGUUUCGGCUGUGUUAUAGCUCUUUAUUGGAUUCGCCCUGGGGGACUGAGGAACGCAGCGUGCUUUUUGCAUGAGCUUCGGCUUAUCCACGCUUAGG